AACACUCAAAAUCAUUUGCCCACACUUUAUCAGCCAAAGGAAUCUACAUAAACAUGCAAAUAACUUGAACAGCAGUGGUAAACAAUGCAUACUGCUCUUGUAAUAGCAAAUAAAACAGUGCCAACAGUCGAUACACACUCGCAUAAAAACAGUAAUGAAUUUACAGAUGGUGUUUCCUGUAACUUUGAUUCAAAGCAUUACACACAGUGGUUCAUGAAGAACAAACUAAAACACAAAGCAGGUGUUGCUGCACAGCAACAGCAUUCGAAUCCCCUCAACAGAGGCGGAUACCACAGUGACCAUCCACAUAUAGUACCACUGUCCACCACAAGCCAGACAAGACACUACAUCGAGAUACCGACUCCUACAGCUAUUAGGUAAUAAUAAAACUCCGGGUAGCUCUUAUUGUUACUGCGUCGGGAUGGGCUGCAUCUCAGGAGCUGUGGCAGGCGCAGGGUCAGCUGCCGGGUAGGCAAAAACCCUUGCGAUGCGCUCCGUUGGGACAAGCGGGAGGUAGGUAGCGACGGAGUUGCCACGCUUAGCACCAUCAAGCACGGCAGAGUUGUACUUGGCUGAGAGCUGUGCAGCUGUGGGGAGGACGGCACGGGUCACUGAGGGGACGAGCGGGAGGCGGUUCAGGGCAGCCCAGGCUUCGGCAGCCUUGCGCUCGGCCACAGGCUCGUAGCGGGUAUACAAGUCGCGGGCCUUUGGCUCAGCGCGAGCAAUGGCCGACUUGGCCAGUCCAGUUGCUGUGCCCAUUAUGCCUGUCUUCUGCACCUCAGCUGCUGCAGAGCGGGCAUAGGUUGGCACCUCCUUCACGACCGGUGGGACACGACGAUCAAGCUCCUGGACAGACUCAUCAACCUGCAAGGCACAAGCACAUGCAGACAUUAGUUACUUGAAUAGCAAUCAAAUGAUUAAAAUACGAUGCACGUGGAAGUGUAGAAAUGAAGAAACAGUUAGUUAACACUGCAUAAGCCUUGCCUCGCGCUAACCAAUAAAUCAGUUGCAAGAACUAGCAACAUCUGAAUUCAAAU
rnacentral:lncRNA from 1 species